UACGGAGGGUGCAAGCGUUAUCCGGAUUCACUUGGGUUUAAAGGGUGCGUAGGCGGGCAGGUAAGUCAGUGGUGAAAUCUCUGGGCUUAACUCAGAAACUGCCGUUGAUACUAUCUGUCUUGAAUUCUGUGGAGGUGAGCGGAAUAUGUCAUGUAGCGGUGAAAUGCUUAGAUAUGACAUAGAACACCAAUUGCGAAGGCAGCUCACUAACACGAGCGAUU
rnacentral:rRNA from 1 species